rnacentral:rRNA from 1 species
CGAGCGCAACCCCUAUUGCCAGUUACCAGCGGGUUAUGCCGGGGACGUCUGGUGAGACUGCCGGGGACAACUCGAGGAAGGUGGGGAUGACGUCAAAUCAUCAUGCCCCUUAUGUCUUGGGCUACACACGUGCUACAAUGGCUGAAACAAAGGGAAGCGACAACGUAAGUUGAAGCGGAUCUCACAAAAACAGUCCCAGUUCGGAUUGUGGGCUGCAACCCGCCCACAUGAAGUCGGAGUUGCUAGUAAUCGCGGAUCAGCAUGCCCGCGGUCGAAUACGUUCCCGGGCCUU